rnacentral:tRNA from 1 species
GGGCAGAUACCGAAGCGGUUAAACGGGACAGACUGUAAAUCUGUUAGGCCAUGCCUUACGGAGGUUCGAAUCCUUCUCUGCCCACCA